AUUUAAGAGUGUGUAUCUUGCCUCUUAACAAUUAAACUACCGCAUAAACGUCUAAAAGGCAGGACCCCGAUAAUUCCGUGACGGCACACCUUGACCGUGAAGAACAAGACUGAUUCUAACAGACCCGCUUGAACGUGGUGCCCGUGAUCUUAACACCUUGGGAGGCCUCUAACGUUGCCUUUGCACCAACUGCUCCAGACUGGCCUUCAGAGACUACUUAAAACCUCAGGAAACUCUGCGAUUGAGGAGGGGAGGAGAGUCAGUGACAGCCUGAGUGACAUUAGGCCAACAGCUUUGUGGGAAGGAUUUGAAGGUGAGGAAACUAAAGCCCUGGGAUGUUUAGGGUUGCUGCCGAGCUGGGACGCGCACGCGGGCCUCCGGGUUCUAACACCCAUGAGCUUCACUGCCGCACCAUAGUGCCUGGAGCAGUUUCUGGAACGUGGGCAAGAGCAGGGCUUUGUCAUACAGGAAAAUGCCUCAUUAGGGAAACCCACGUGUGUGGCCUAGGAAACUACCCUGUCGCCUGGGGGACGGGGUGUGGUGGGGCGCUCAGCAGCUCGACUUCCAGGUUCACAGGUCAGUUCUCAUCCUGGGCAAGUGAGGAGAGCUCCUUUGGAGGCCCAUCGGCUUUCUGCCAGGGCAGGUGGUCCUGCCACACCUGGAUUCAGGACAUCUGCUUUUCACCCAGGGAGAAUGGCUUUGUCAGAUGCUGUCUGGUUUCAUUUUCUGUGGGAGGUUUGCUUUGGCUUCUGAAUGUUCAAGGAGUGCACG
rnacentral:lncRNA from 1 species